rnacentral:lncRNA from 1 species
AGCGGCAGAAAAGGCCGGCGUGUGGGGCGGGCCUGGGGAAGGGACUCCCGCGGCCCUAAGGUGCUGGCGGGCGUUUGGCGUUGCAGCUGUGUGGGCGCUGGUGCGUGCGAGUAGCGCUCGAAGAAACCCAAAGGCGUCGUGGGGCUGCCGUGUGCCCCAGAGAGCACUGCAGGCCGGGUAGGGGCUAAGGCUCCCCGCAGUCUUCUGUGUGUCGUCCAGUACGCAGUUGAAAUCGUUCUCCAACCUGGCCAGUCCUCCGAGGCCCUUCUCAGGCGACCAGACUCUGUUAACAGAGUCCAUUGCUAAAACUCCUCGUUAGUAUUUACCACUCCUCCAGUCUGUGUUUUGAAGCAGUGGUUUUCAACCACUGCCCGUUUUCAGAAGAAAUCAUCUCAAGCGUCCGUGUGCUGCUAGAAGCCGGGCCGGGAGGUCUUGGUGCCGGACUCCACCCUGCAGCCCUUCCCUUUCGCCACCGCCCUGUGCUUAGAGAAACCUUAGAGUGGAGCAAUGAGUCGCCCUUGACUGAGUAACUCUUCGGGGUCAACUUCUCCUUCCACGCCAAGGAAAGGAUUCCAGGGCGAUGUUUCUGGAAAUAGAGAUCUGACCAAGCCACUGCUCUGGUGAAAAUUCAGUGGGUCCCUAGCACCUAGUGCAGCGGCUCCUAGCCUGAGUAUUGCCGUCUUUCGGUGGGGAGGGGUUGGGUUUUUUUGUAGCAUCUGUUGAUCUGAUCUCCAACAUCCUCCACGUCAAUUCCCACUCCACCCACAUCCCUUAUCCUAUACGUAAGCUUUCCAGCCACGGUGCUGGCUUGGGUGGGGGUGCGUGCGGUGCUGACACCAAAAUGGAGGUCCCGUGUUUCUGAGAGUCUCUUUCAGAGCAAUGCAAACCUGAAACUACUCCUGCCAAGAAACGAUUGCAGCUCUUCCCGGAAAAGUUAAAGCCUUUGAGAAACAAAGCUGAGACAGGCAGUAACACAUGUUGGUGAGGUUGUGGAGAAAAGGGAACCCUCAUAUACCAUUGAUGGAAUGUAAAUUAAUACAAUCACUAUGGAGAACAGUUUGGAAGUUCCUCAAAGACUAAAAAUAGAGUUACCAUACGAUCAAGCAAUCCCACUGCUAGCUAAUAUUGGGAAGCUCAGCAGGGUCCUGGGGGCCCACAGGAAUGUGAAUAAACACGCUUGGAAAGUCUGCAGAAUUUCCAGUCCUAGCCUCCUGCUGGUGUGAACCUGGGCUCCUGUGCCUGGGACCCUGGGAGGGCCUAGGGGAUGCCAAAUUCCAGGGUCCAGAAAGAGCUUGGGAUAAAAUGAACAUCCAAGGGGAGGGCUUUGACCUGGGCUGAGUCUGCCUGUGCCGAGUCUGCCUGUGCCAUCCAACUGGAGUCUCAAGUCCUGAGGCAGGACGUCCAGAUGCCCCAGUGCAGGGUCCUCCUGAUCAACACCUGCUCCCCUGUACUCAUUAGCAACCUCACCCACCCUACUCUCAAAGCACACUUGGCUCUCAUAUCCAGGAGCUCUGCAUCUGUAGAUUCAGCAACAGCAGAUGGAAAAUAUUCAGAAAAUAAAUUGGACAGUUAUAUUUC